rnacentral:rRNA from 1 species
GACGAACGCUGGCGGCGCGCUUAACACAUGCAAGUCGAACGGAAAGGCCUGCUUUCCCUUGUGGAUUGCGGGUACUCGAGUGGCGAACGGGUGAGUAACACGUGAGUGAUCUGCCCCCAACUUGGGUAUAAGCCUGGGAAACUGGGUCUAAUUCCCGAUAGGACUGCAGGGUUGUGCCUGUGGUGGAAAACGAUUUUCUAGUGGUUGGGGAUGAGCUCGCGGCCUAUCAGCUUGUUGGUGGGGUAAUGGCCUACCAAGGCGGCGACGGGUAGCCGGCCUGAGAGGGUGGACGGGCACAUUGGGACUGAGAUAAGGCCCAGACUCCUACGGGAGGCAGCAGUGGGGAAUAUUGCACAAUGGGCGGAAGCCUGAUGCAGCGACGCCGCGUGGGGGAUGACGGCCUUCGGGUUGUAAACUCCUUUCGACCGCGAGGAAGCCACCUGGUUGGAAGGGUGGUGACGGUAGCGGUAGAAGAAGCACCGGCUAACUACGUG